rnacentral:tRNA from 2 species
GCGCAUGUAGCUCAGCUGGAUAGAGUACCUGGCUACGAACCAGGCGGUCGGGAGUUCGAAUCUCUCCAUGCGCGCCA